rnacentral:piRNA from 1 species
UGCCUAUGCUCAGAUAUGGUAGGACACC